rnacentral:rRNA from 1 species
UGGAGAAUAUUGGACAAUGGGGGCAACCCUGAUCCAGCCAUGCCGCGUGAGUGAUGAAGGCCUUCGGGUUGUAAAGCUCUUUUGGCGGGGACGAUGAUGACGGUACCCGCAGAAUAAGCCCCGGCUAACUUCGUGCCAGCAGCCGCGGUAAGACGAAGGGGGCUAGCGUUGUUCGGAAUUACUGGGCGUAAAGCGAGUGUAGGCGGUUGCCGUAGUCAGGUGUGAAAGCCUUGAGCUCACUCAAGAAAUGCACUUGAUACUGGGUGACUAGAGGACCGGAGAGGAUAGUGGAAUUCCCAGUGUAGUGGUGAAAUACGUAGAGAUUGGGAAGAACACCAGUGGCGAAGGCGGCUAUCUGGACGGUUACUGACGCUAAGACCCGAAAGCGUGGGGAG